CGCCGAGCCGAUUGUGGCGAAGUGGGUGAUCCUAUGCUGCCGAGAAAAGCCUCUAGUGAGUGUUGCGGCGGCCCGUACCCUAAACCGACUCAGGUGGUCAGGUAGAGAAUACUGAGGCGUUCGGGUGAACUGUGGUUAAGGAACUCGGCAAAUUGCCCCCGUAACUUCGGGAGAAGGGGGGCCUCUGCUGGUGAGGGCACGUGCUGCCUGGAGCUGGUGGGGGUCGCAGAGGCCAGGGGGAAGCGACUGUUUACUAAAAACACAGGUCCGUGCUAAGUCGUAAGACGAUGUAUACGGACUGACGCCUCCCCGGUGCUGGAACGUUAAGGGGACCGGUUAGCUGCAUUCGUGUGGCGAGGCUGAGAACUUAAGCGCCAGUAAACGGCGGUGGUAACUAUAACCAUCCUAAGGUAUCGAAAUUCCUUGUCGGGUAAGUUCUGACCUGCACGAAUGGCGUAACGACUUCCCCGCUGUCUCAACCGCAGACCCGGUGAAAUUGCACUACGAGUAAAGAUGCUCGUUACGCGCAGCAGGACGGAAAGACCCCGGGACCUUCACUACAGCUUGACAUUGGUGUUUGGGACGGCUUGUGUAGGAUAGGUGGGAGACUGGGAAGCUGUCACGCUAGUGAUGGUGGAGUCAUUGGUGAAAUACCACUCUGGUCGUUUUGGAUGUCUAACCCGCGCCCGUGGAUCCGGGUGGGGGACAGUGUCUGGUGGGUAGUUUAACUGGGGCGGUUGCCUCCUAAAGGGUAACGGAGGCGCCCAAAGGUUCCCUCAGCCUGGUUGGCAAUCAGGUUUCGAGUGUAAGUGCACAAGGGGGCUUGACUGUGAGACUGACGGGUCGAGCAGGAGCGAAAGCUGGGACUAGUGAUCCGGCACCGACGUGUGGAAGUGGUGUCGCUCAACGGCUAAAAGGUACCCCGGGGAUAACAGGCUGAUCUUCCCCAAGAGUCCAUAUCGACGGGAUGGUUUGGCACCUCGAUGUCGGCUCGUCGCAUCCUGGGGCUGGAGUAGGUCCCAAGGGUUGGGCUGUUCGCCCAUUAAAGCGGUACGCGAGCUGGGUUUAGAACGUCGCGAGACAGUUCGGUCCCUAUCCGCUGCGCGCGCAGGAGACUUGAGAGAGGCUGUCCCUAGUACGAGAGGACCGGGACGGACGAACCUCUGGUGUGCCAGUUGUUCUGCCAAGGGCAUGGCUGGUUGGCUACGUUCGGAAGGGAUAACCGCUGAAAGCAUCUAAGCGGGAAGCUCGUCUCGAGAUGAGGUCUCCCACCACGAGAGUGGGUAAGGCUCCCGGUAGACGACCGGGUUGAUAGGCCGGGUGUGGAAGCGCGGUAACGUGUGGGGCUGACCGGUACUAAUAGGCCGAGGACUUGACC
rnacentral:rRNA from 1 species